rnacentral:rRNA from 1 species
AUUGAACGCUGGCGGCAUGCCUUACGCAUGCAAGUCGAGCGGUAACAGAUCUUCGGAUGCUGACGAGUGGCGAACGGGUGAGUAAUACAUCGGAACGUGCCUAGUAGUGGGGGAUAACUACUCGAAAGAGUGGCUAAUACCGCAUGAGAUCUACGGGUGAAGGCAGGGGAUCGCAAGACCUUGUGCUACUAGAGCGGCCGAUGGCAGAUUAGGUAGUUGGUGGGAUAAAAGCUUACCAAGCCGACGAUCUGUAGCUGGUCUGAGAGGACGAUCAGCCACACUGGGACUGAGACACGGCCCAGACUCCUACGGGAGGCAGCAGUGGGGAAUUUUGGACAAUGGGCGCAAGCCUGAUCCAGCAAUGCCGCGUGCAGGAUGAAGGCCUUCGGGUUGUAAACUGCUUUUGUACGGAACGAAAAGCCCUGGGUUAAUACCCUGGGGUCAUGACGGUACCGUAAGAAUAAGCACCGGCUAACUACGUGCCAGCCGCCGCAGUAAAAC